UAGAUCUAAGUGAACAAAAACAUCCUGCAAAGUUUGAAAUAUGAAAGUGCACCGUAUAUAAAGUUAUUGUCUUUCAAAAGUAAGAGUCGACUCUGAGUCAUUUUUAUGAAUCGUUAGAAGACCGAAGCUUUUUCUCUGACUAGAUGACAUCAACUUGUCAAGUUAUUUGAAUACGAUACGCCCACUUAUUGCGCUCCAAGACGCCAGUGAAAACUAGAAAACAUCAUGGCGACGAGACGCUGUGUUCUGAAGUGCGACUCAAAAGCAAACUUUUUUCAUCUGCCCAAGGAUGAGCAUUUGAAGACUAAGUGGCUACAAUUCAUAUAUACAACUGUACCACAGAAGUAUAGUCCGAGCCUUGUGCUUUGUUCACGCCAUUUUGAAGACGAUUGCUUUACCAACUUAAAUGCAAUCAAACUUGGAUUCGCGAGCCGGCUGAUAUUGAAGGAAGGUUCAGUUCCAAGUGUAUUUGCAUUAGCUUCCUCCUCCGUAUCACAACCUAGUACAUCAUAUCAGAGAAUUCAAAGUAGAGUUUUACAAUCUGAUGUGGCUUGUCAGACUGACUGUCCACAAACUGUUUCUGUGAUGAUGCAAACAGAUGAAUUUCAGAAAAAAUCUGUAGGAACCCAACUGCCCUCUAGUACAAUGAAGAACAUUCAAAUUCGGAGUACAGGUUCACAGGCUACAGUUGCUUGUGUGACUGUUGGCACAACAACCACAUCAACCACCUAUGAUAUACCAUUUGCAUCAACACCAGUAAAGUCU